rnacentral:rRNA from 1 species
AACGAACGCUGGCGGCAGGCUUAACACAUGCAAGUCGAACGCAUCCUUCGGGGUGAGUGACAGACGGGUGAGUAACGCGUGGGAACGUGCCCUUCAGUUCGGGAUAACCCAGGGAAACUUGGGCUAAUACCGGAUACGUGCGAGAGCAGAAAGAUUUAUCGCUGAAGGAUCGGCCCGCGUCUGAUUAGCUAGUUGGUGGGGUAAUGGCCCACCAAGGCGACGAUCAGUAGCUGGUUUGAGAGGAUGAUCAGCCACAUUGGGACUGAGACACGGCCCAAACUCCUACGGGAGGCAGCAGUGGGGAAUAUUGGACAAUGGGCGCAAGCCUGAUCCAGCCAUGCCGCGUGAGUGAUGAAGGCCUUAGGGUUGUAAAGCUCUUUCGUCCGGGACGAUAAUGACGGUACCGGAAGAAGAAGCCCCGGCUAACUUCGUGCCAGCAGCCGCCGUAACAC